UACGGGGGGGCAAGCGUUGUUCGGAAUUACUGGGCGUAAAGGGCUCGUAGGCGGCCAACUAAGUCGGAUGUGAAAUCCCCAGGCUCAACCUGGGAACUGCAUCCGAUACUGGAUGGCUUGAAUUCGGGAGAGGGAUGCAGAAUUCCAGGUGUAGCGGUGAAAUGCGUAGAUAUCUGGAGGAAUACCGGUGGCGAAGGCGGCAUCCUGGACCGACAUUGACGCUGAGGAGCGAAAGCCAGGGGAGCAACGGG
rnacentral:rRNA from 1 species